rnacentral:rRNA from 1 species
UGAAGGUCAGGCUGAAGACCUUACCGGAUUAGUUGAGAGGUGGUGCAUGGCCGUCGUCAGUUCGUACUGUGAAGCAUCCUGUUAAGUCAGGCAACGAGCGAGACCCACGUCCACAGUUGCCAGCAUACCCUCCGGGGUGAUGGGUACACUGUGGAGACCGCCGCUGCUAAAGCGGAGGAAGGAAUGGGCAACGGUAGGUCAGUAUGCCCCGAAUCUCCCGGGCUACACGCGGGCUACAAUGGUUGGUACAAUGGGCAUCUACCCCGAAAGGGGAAGGAAAUCUCUUAAAGCCAAUCGUAGUUCGGAUUGAGGGCUGCAACUCGCCCUCAUGAAGCUGGAAUCCGUAGUAAUCGCGUUUCAACAGAACGCGGUGAAUACGUCCCUGCUCCUU